UGUGUGUGUGUGUGUGUGUGUUUGCGCACGUGUGUAUAUAUAUGUACACACACACACACACACACACACACACACACACAUACAUA
rnacentral:miRNA from 11 species